GACGAACGCUGGCGGCGUGCUUAACACAUGCAAGUCGAACGGAAAGGCCCUGCUUUUGUGGGGUGCUCGAGUGGCGAACGGGUGAGUAACACGUGAGUAACCUGCCCUUGACUUUGGGAUAACUUCAGGAAACUGGGGCUAAUACCGGAUAGGAGCUCCUGCUGCAUGGUGGGGGUUGGAAAGUUUCGGCGGUUGGGGAUGGACUCGCGGCUUAUCAGCUUGUUGGUGGGGUAGUGGCUUACCAAGGCUUUGACGGGUAGCCGGCCUGAGAGGGUGACCGGCCACAGUGGGACUGAGAUACGGCCCAGACUCCUACGGGAGGCAGCAGUGGGGAAUAUUGCACAAAGGGCGGAAGACUGAUGCAGCAACGCCGCGUGCGGGAUGACGGACUUCGGGUUGUAAACCGCUUUCGCCUGUGACGAGGCGUGAGUGACGGUAAUGGGUAAAGAAGCACCGGCUAACUACGUG
rnacentral:rRNA from 1 species